GACGAACGCUGGCGGCGUGCUUAACACAUGCAAGUCGAACGAAGUGGCGAACGGGUGAGUAACGCGUAAUCAAACUGCCCAUCAGAGGGGGACAACAGUUGGAAACGACUGCUAAUACCGCAUACAGCGGGAAGGGAUUGCGUCUGAUUAGCUAGCUGGAGGGGUAACGGCCCACCAAGGCGAUGGGCAGUAGCCGGGCUGAGAGGAUUAACGGCCACAUUGGGACUGCGACACGGCCCAGACGCCUACGGGAGGCAGCAGUGGGGAAGCUUCCGCAAUGGACGAAAGGCUGACGGAGCAACGCCGCGUGAGUGAUGACGGCCUUCGGGUUGUAAAGCUCUGUUAAUCGGGACGCGGUACCGGAAUAGAAAGCCACGGCUAACUACGUGCCAGCAGCCGCGGUAAUUC
rnacentral:rRNA from 1 species